rnacentral:rRNA from 1 species
AUUGAACGCUGGCGGCAUGCCUUACACAUGCAAGUCGAACGGUAACAGGUCUUCGGAUGCUGACGAGUGGCGAACGGGUGAGUAAUACAUCGGAACGUGCCUAGUAGUGGGGGAUAACAACUCGAAAGAGUGGCUAAUACCGCAUGAGAUCUACGGAUGAAAGCAGGGGAUCGCAAGACCUUGUGCUACUAGAGCGGCCGAUGGCAGAUUGGGUAGUUGGUGAGAUAAAAGCUUACCAAGCCGACGAUCUGUAGCUGGUCUGAGAGGACGAUCAGCCACACUGGGACCGAGACACGGCCCAGACUACUACGGGAGGCAGCAGUGGGGAAUUUUGGACAAUGGGCGAAAGCCUGAUCCAGCAAUGCCGCGUGCAGUAUGAAGGCCUUCGGGUUGUAAACUGCUUUUGUACGGAACGAAAAGCCCCGGGUUAAUACCCUGGGGUCAUGACGGUACCGUAAGAAUAAGCACCGGCUAACUACGUGCCAGCCGCCGCCGCAG